GAUGAACGCUGGCGGCGUGCUUAACACAUGCAAGUCGAACGGAAAGGCUCCUGCUUGCAGGGGUACUCGAGUGGCGAACGGGUGAGUAACACGUGGGUGAUCUGCCCUGCACUUCGGGAUAAGCCUGGGAAACUGGGUCUAAUACCGGAUAGGACGAUGGUUUGGAUGCCAUUGUGGAAAGUUUUUUCGGUGUGGGAUGAGCUCGCGGCCUAUCAGCUUGUUGGUGGGGUAAUGGCCUACCAAGGCGUCGACAGGUAGCCGGCCUGAGAGGGUGUACGGCCACAUUGGGACUGAGAUACGGCCCAGACUCCUACGGGAGGCAGCAGUGGGGAAUAUUGCACAAUGGGCGCAAGCCUGAUGCAGCGACGCCGCGUGGGGGAUGACGGCCUUCGGGUUGUAAACUCCUUUCGCUAGGGACGAAGCGCAAGUGACGGUACCUGGAGAAGAAGCACCGGCUAACUACGUG
rnacentral:rRNA from 1 species